rnacentral:rRNA from 1 species
GAUGAACGCUGGCGGCGUGCCUAAUACAUGCAAGUCGAGCGAACAGACGAGGAGCUUGCUCCUCUGACGUUAGCGGCGGACGGGUGAGUAACACGUGGAUAACCUACCUAUAAGACUGGGAUAACUUCGGGAAACCGGAGCUAAUACCGGAUAAUAUAUUGAACCGCAUGGUUCAAUAGUGAAAGACGGUUUUGCUGUCACUUAUAGAUGGAUCCGCGCCGCAUUAGCUAGUUGGUAAGGUAACGGCUUACCAAGGCAACGAUGCGUAGCCGACCUGAGAGGGUGAUCGGCCACACUGGAACUGAGACACGGUCCAGCCUCCUACGGGAGGCAGCAGUAGGGAAUCUUCCGCAAUGGGCGAAAGCCUGACGGAGCAACGCCGCGUGAGUGAUGAAGGUCUUCGGAUCGUAAAACUCUGUUAUUAGGGAAGAACAAAUGUGUAAGUAACUAUGCACGGCUUGACGGUACCUAAUCAGAAAGCCACGGCUAACUACGUG